UCCUGAAAUAAAGAAUAAAUGCUGUGGCUGCAGUUGUAUAUCUGCAGCAACUCAGACACUAUGCAAGUCAAGGAUUGAACCCAAGGGGGUCUAAAACCUUCCGAUGCACUGCUUGGAAAUGAGGGACAGCUGAUUUUAAUAGAUUCCAGUUCUACUGAAGCAAGCAUCCACUUAGAAGCCCUGCCUCUACACUAUUCCCCUCAGGUGUUGCUGAGCUAUGUGCUGUGUGCUGUUUGCCAUAACAUUUGAGUAAGGCCCUAUGACAGACACGAUGAUCACAAAGGCACCGCAGAAACCUGGCAGUACAGGACCAACCCAGCAUUCCCAGAGCUCCAGACUUCCUCAGGGAACUGUCCAGCACUAGCUUUGAUGAGGGCUAUGGACUCACGGAAGGCAUAUUAUAACUAGUAAUAAAUCAACCACUGAUAUUUGGACACCUUAGUCUGCCUGGUGUCCAUCUGGUUUCCAGAUCCAGCUGAAGAGCCCAUUAUGAGCUAAGAUGGGUGUUGGAGGUGACCUCUGGCUCCCCUACAGAAACUGGCAGCCAGCAUGGGGUCUUUACCACCAUGAUCCUGGACCUCUGACCAAAGGCUGCAGAGGUAAGAUUUCUCACCAUCAGAUUCCUGGAUCUUUGCUGUGGGGGCAAGAGAGCCACCAAAUCAGCUCUUAAUGUUUGAAACUUCUAGUGAGGUUUCAGACCAGGGAAAAGGAAGAGUGAAGGAUGUGCUAUCCCUAAAUAAGCCAGAUUGCUAUAUGGAUUAUUUCAAGUCAAAAACAUUGGAGAAAUUGCAGGUUCAGAAAGGUUCACCUGCCUGGUGUCCAUAUGGUUUCUAGAUCCAGCUGAAGAGCUCACUAAGAACUAAAAGGAGGGCUGGAGGUGAUUUCUGGCUCACCUACACAAGGAUAUGUGCAUCUGUAUAUGAAGU